CCAGGCUCCGCCCUCUAUGCUAUUCGCGGAUGUGAAGCGGCUGCCAAGCUGGUUCUCUAGCCUAGGGCUUUGGCGCGAGGUGGGAGGUCGCUUUCCAGAGGCGCAGGUCCACCCUCAGCUAGUGUGGGGCGCGGGCUAGCCUCGGCUUCCGGGGAUCGCUGCAGGACUCCAUCGGGGACGGAGCGCUCGCCGCGGUGGAGUCAGGACCCAGCAUGUCGGGACCGCGGGCUUCUCGGCGCCUGCUUGGCUGUGGCCUUGUAUUUCAGGGGCAGCGUAUAAGGUCCUGUGGAGCAAACCUGUUAGCCUCCAGACAGGCGACUCCUUUAACUCAACCUGGGCCGUAAUCCAAAAUUGGACCACAUUAUAGACAGCAUGGACGGGAUUGUGGCAUGGGAGACUAAGGAAGGAGAUUUGUUUUUUGUCCAGCUAAUCCGUGUAGUAGUUUGGGAAUUAGUGAAAUAAAUGGUUGUGUUUCAUAGCCUAAAGAGUCAGUGUAUGAAUUAAUUAUACAAGUUGAUGGAAGGUGAAGAUGUCUGCAUUUGGGGUCUGAAUGAAACAAUGCGACCUUAAAUUUUGGGUUUGGACGUGGAAAAAGUAAUUCGUAAUAAAUAGUUUUCCUAGUGAAAGUAUCUGCUUUGAUGUUUUACAUUCUUAAUUAUUUUGUCAGUCUAGAAACACAACUCACCUCAACAAAGGGUGUGCUGACUCCUCUUAUGUCAGUUUGACACACAAACUAGAGUUUUUGUAAAGAAGGGAACCUCAAUUGAGAAAAUGCCUCCAUAAGAUCCGACUGUAAGGCAUUUUCUUAUUUAGUGAUUGAUGGAGGAGGGCCCAGCCCAUUGUGGGUAAUGCCAUCCCUGGUGUAGAUUCUAUAAGAAAGCAGGUUGAGCAAGCCAGUAAGUAGUACCCCUCCAUGGCCUGCAUCAGUUCCUGCAUCUAGGUUCCUGGCCUGUUUUUACUGUCCUGACUUCCUUCGAUGAUGAACAGCAAUGUGCAAGUGUAAGACAAAUAAACCCUCUCCUCCCCAAUUUGAUUUUUGGUCAUGAUGUUUCAUCACAGCAAUAGAAAACUAAGGCAAAGGGAAUAAAAUACCAUUUAUUUUGGAGCCAAAUAUGGC
rnacentral:lncRNA from 1 species